CCGGAAGAGCACCGCACGUCGCGCGGUGUCCGGUGCGCCCCCGGCGGCCCAUGAAAAUCCGGAGGACCGAGUACCGUUCACGCCCGGUCGUACUCAUAACCGCAUCAGGUCUCCAAGGUGACAAGCCUCUGGCCAAUGGAACAAUGUAGGCAAGGGAAGUCGGCAAAACGGAUCCGUAACUUCGGGAAAAGGAUUGGCUCUGAGGACUGGGCUCGGGGGUCCCGGCCCCGAACCCGUCGGCUG
rnacentral:ncRNA from 1 species